rnacentral:lncRNA from 10 species
CCCCACCUUAACUCAAGCUGAGUUCAACUUUUUAGACAAAGCUUAACUCUUUCAACCCAUUGCCAAUCAGGAAAUUUUUGAAUCUACCUGUCAGAGACGUGUGAACCAGAGCAACUCCAUCUUGAAUAUGAGCUGGGUAAAAUGAGGCUGAGACCUACUGGGCUGCAUUCCCCGAUGGUUAGGUAGUCUAAGUCACAGGAUGAGAUAGGAGGUCAGCACAAGAUACAGGUCUUAAAGACCUUGCUGAUAAAACAGGCUGCAAUAAGGAAGCUGGCUAAAUCCCACCAAAACCAAGAUGGCCACAAGAGUGACCUCUGGUCAUCCUCACUGCUACACUCCCACCAGCACCAUGACAGUUUGCAGGUGCCAUGGCAACGUCAGGAUGCUACCCUAUAUGGUCUAAAAAGGGGAGACAUGAAUAAUCCACACCCUGAUUAGCAUAUCAUCAAGAAAUAACCAUAAAAAUGGGCAACCAGCAGCCCUCAGGGCUGCUUUGUCUAUGGGUAGCCCUUUUUUUAUUCCUUUACUUUCUUAAUAAAUUUGCUUUCACUUCAUGAACUUGCACUGAAUUCUUUCUUGCGUGAGAUCCAAGAACCCUCUCUCGGGGUCUGGAUUGGGACCCCUUUCCUGUAACAUCUUUCUGGUGACCAUGGAAAGAACCAUAGUGUGGAAACCCUUGACUCAAAGGUUUACUUUGGUUAAGUGAUGGGGUCCUGUAACAUCUUUCUGGCGACCACAGAAGUGACUAUAGUGUGGAAACCCCAGACCCAAAGAGUAACUUUGGGUAAGUGGUAGGGUCUGGUAACGUCUUUCUGGUGAAUCAUGGAAGGGACGAUACUGAGGAGACCCCUCAACCCAAAAGAAGUAGACUGCACCACUGGUUGGCCGACUUUGAAUAAGUGGUGGGGUACCUGGGUAAAGGAUGGGAUUGGGUUAGAGGCCCAACGUAGGGGAGUUAGAGUCUGUCCUAAGACACAGUGGGUUAGAGGCCCCUCUUAAGGAAAGGUAAGGACGCUUGCUCAACCUUGGGUUAGAGGCCCAACUCAGGAGGGUUAGAGUCCCUUCUCAGAUUUAGGGGGUUAGAGGCCCCUCUCAGUAAGGUCCCUCUCAGUAAAGUCGCUUCUGGCUAAGAGCAGGUUUGGCACUAUGGGAUGUUAACUGCUAUUCUCUUGGGAUUAAUCUGCCUUGCACUCUUUGCUGAUGGCUGUGAGUGACAGAAUUAGCCACGUACAGGAUUGUAGGACUUGGGGAGUUUUUUCCUCCUUAAACGGGGAAACUUGGGAGCUGACGGGACUGCUGGAAAAGAUCCCUUCAUGACUGACAAGCAGCCACCUAAACUUUUCAGUGUUGCUGCAAUGGAUGGGUCUUUCUCUGACCUCCCUGAGCGCCUCGCCUUCCCCAUCCUGCCUCAGGCAAUGCUUUUCUCUCUCUGUGCAAACUGGUUGAAUAAAUUGUAAAAAAUAAUUGUUUAUCUCCUGUAAAGUUUUGAUUAAUGGAAUAAAGGAUUUGUGAGGCUAGUCUUAAGCUGUAGCCAACCAGGUCUGGUGUGCUUUCUGUGUCUUUCUGUAUUGCUCUGUCAUAAAGAGGAGUACCUUAGGAUAGAGCACGGACUUAGGACACCUUUAAGCCUGCUUUUCAAGACAGCUCAGCAAACUGGUCAAUUACAAACUUUGCUGCAGGUCCCUCAAAAAACUGGAUGAGGUUUCCUUCUUGUCUUCUAUGUUCUUGGGAGCUUGACCUUGUAACCAUGUGGCCAUGCUUUCUCUUUUCACAAUGGUGGCCCAGGUUCAGGGUUCAAUUCCUGGCUUGGAAAAUAAGUUCUUUAUCUUCUAUGUAUUUAUAUGUAUUAUGUGUGUGAUGUUUAUGAAUGAAAGAGCUUUAACUAAUUGGUUUAAAAAUAAGUGCUUAAAUAUUUUGUCAGAAAAGUAAAAAGUGUAAUGCCUUUUAGUUCAUGUGACUGAAGUAAUCUUUGGGAAAUAAGGAGUUUUAAAGAUUAUUGGCAAAAUAAAAAUAUCUUCAAACAUGUAAACAUUUGGUCUAAAUUAUGCAGGUGAGAUAUUAAGUUUGCUAAAUGCUUUAAGGUCAUAAACUGCUUCUUUGACUUUUUUUUUUUUUUUUUGAGACAGAGUUUUACUCUGUUGCCCAGGCUGGAGGGCAGUGGUGCGAUCUCGGCUCAUUGCAAGCUCCGCCUCCUGGGUUCAUGCCAUUCUCCUGCCUCAGCCUCCCGAGUAGGUGGGACUACAGGCACCCGCCACCACGCCUGGCUAAUUUUUUUGUAUUUUUAGUAGAUACAGGGUUUCACUGUGUUAGCCAGGAUGGUCUCAAUCUCCUGACCUUGUGAUCCACCUGCCUUGGCCUCCCAAAGUGCUGGGAUUACAAGGGUGAGCCACUGCGCCCAACCUGACUUUUAAAAAUUAUUCAGUUUCCUACUCUGGAGCAUUAGAUUCUAGAUAAGGCCAGGGACAUGUGGAGUUAGCCACGCCCCUAGCUAUGCUGGAGUCAGCCCCCUUAUCUGCACUUCUGCCUGGUGUGUCCUAGGCUAAAUUCCACACCUGGUACACAAUUAGAAUCCCCAACUUACCAAGGUUUUCACCAAGAGUAAAAGUCACUAACAAUUAACAUCGUCACAUGUAAUUAAGACUGCUAAAAAAAACAGUUUUACAUGCAAGAUGUGUAAGAAAAGUGAAAUGUGUCUUUUGGUAAAAGAUUAUAAGAACACAUGGAAAUGUGGAUUUUUCUUACCUAGAUUAAAGAGUUAAAGAAUUGUUUUAGGCCGGGCGCGGUGGCUCACGCCCGUAAUCCCAGCAGUUUGGGAGGCCGAGGUGGGCGGAUCAUGAAGUCAGGAGAUCAAGACCAUCCUGGCUAACACGGUGAAACCCAGUCUCUACUAAAAAUGCAAAAAAAAAUUAGCCAGGCGUGGUUGUGGGCGCCUGUAGUCCCAGCUACUCAGGAGGCUGAGGCAGGACAAAGGCGUGAACCCAGGAGGCGGAGCUCGCAGUGAGCUGAGAUCAUGCCACUGCACUCCAGCCUGGGUGACAGAGGGAGACUCUAUCUCAAAAAAAAAAAAAAAAAAAAAAAAAAAAAAAAGGAUUGUUUUAAAUUAGAAUCAAGCUGAAGGUUUACGCAAGUUGUGGAAGGCUUGUUAUAAGUUAAUCUUGUAAAAAAAUUCUGGGUGUGAACAAAUGGGCUAAAGUUAAAGGGGUAUUAUUCAGUUUUUCUGUAAACUGAACAUGGGAAUAAAAGCAUAACAGGUUUUUUCUUCGAGCAAAAACCUGCCUAUGACCUGCUCUUUAAUAAAAAUGUGUAAAGGGUUAUCAAAGGCUUAUGAGAAACUUACCUUAUGGCCAAACUGAUUAAGUUUGAACACAUUUGUCUAUAAGAUUUCAUUAAGAAUUAAUUGGCUUUGACAUCAACAGUGCACUAAUGCAAGAGUGACGUUUGGCUUAUUUGGUACAAAAAUUGCUCAGGAAGCAUUAUCAAAUGUGAAAUGGUGUUUGGUUUUCUUUGGGCUGUUAUUUGUAUAAAUGUGUUAUUGGUAUAUGUUCCAAAAGUAUGGGAAAAUCCUCUAAUUCUAAUGUGACUUACUGUAUGUUAUUAAUAAUUAUAAUUGUUACAUAAAAUCAUUGCAUGCCACAAAGGUAACCAAAUUUCAUGUUUUUGAUUGUGGCUGCCCUAAAAUAUUUUGUUAUCCACAGACAAUUGUUAUCUUGUUUUAAUCCUUUUUAGAAGGUGGUUUAUAACCAACUAUGGAGCUCUCACAGGGGUUCUUAAACGCAGGUUUUUAAUAACUUUGGAAAUUGUGAUAUUAGAAUGGAGGAAAAACUUUCAGAACUCUCAUAGAGAGCUGAAAUGUUCAUGAAUAUCAAGCAAAACAGGAGUUAACUAAAUUAACUGAACCAAUAAAAAACUGAAGUAAUGUUUUUAACUUUACUUAAAAUGUUGCUGAUCCUUUGUUUCGUUUCUCAGAGUCAAGGAAACUUUUCUUUUGAGCUAUGUACAGCUUUUAGCAAUUGAGUAAAAUAUACUCCUGUGAACAAAAUUUGGAGCAUAUUUCUCUGUUUUCUCCAGAAUUUGGAAACUAUUUGUGAGUAUUCUUAAUUUAAUGGCAAUAUAGUUAUUUGCAUAAGUGCAAUAAACAUCUGAUUUCUUUUGUAACAGGAGACAAUUGGAAAAACUGGUUAUUUUACCAAGGCUUUAACUGGAAUGGGAUGCUUUGCAUUAAGGAAUCAAACUUGACUUGUAAAGCCAAUAAAAGCCCCUUGGCGAAAUGCCUCAUACCUUGUCUUCACAGUCCCUGUAUGGGGUUCCUGACCUGUGGUAAAUGAAGAAUGUCACUUUCUGACAGGUCCAGUAGCCCCAAGCUAUCUUGAGGCUCAAGAGGAGAGGAAUUUACUCAACUCAUAGGUAUUUGAGGGUACAAACCCAUGGCAGGGCCUGGCUCUAAAAAAGUCUUAUCUGAGAUUCCUUCUAUGGAACACAGUUCCAUCAAAGCCAAUUUAAAAAGAGCUUAUGUGAAAAAUAAUUAUUCUUGCUGUACUUUAUACAAACAAUCAGGCCAAGUAUAAUAAAAUCAGUCUUACCAAGAUUUGUUUUUAGUAAAAAUGGAAAAUGGGAAACUAGAGAGAGAAAUUAUGUUUCAAGAACUAUGGUACACUUCUUAAAUUCUAGUUUCAUUGUUGUUUUUAAGUUUGUUUCUGCAAUUUAGGCUAACCCUGCUUAUUCCUGUGAACCAACCAGUGAUCUCUGGCUGCUGCUCAGAAGAAACAAGAGGGAUGGAUAAUGUAAACAUCUGGAUCAGUAUUCUAAUUCUGGGCACAUUAGAAUCAGCUAACAGCCCCAUGUCAGCUUAGUUCCAACAUGCCCAGUUCAUGGAAAGCCUUCUAAUUUAGUUCACUUGGGAUAGCUUUGCUUAUUCUGUUAUAUUGCUGUUGUACUCUUUGUGUAGGAAUAUAGGACAAGCUUACUGAAUGUUUUCUUAAACACUUAAUAAUCUUUCAUAUAUCACCUUUUGUGAGAACUCAAGAGUUAUGAAUGGCUCUCACCAUUCCAAGGCUUUCUGGCUGAGCUCUUCUCUACCCUGAACAGAAGAGACCUUAAUAGGCAGGAGUAUCAUGGACCCUAUUCACCCUGAAGAAGUUACAGAAGAUGGAUCUUCAUCCCUCUGCAACCCUUAGGAUUAAAGGUUGUCUUAUAAAAGGGAGGGGAGCAAUGUCAGAGGCAUGUGAACCAGAGCAACUCCAUCUUGAAUAGGAGCUGGGUAAAAUGAGGCUGAGACCUACUGGGCUGCAUUCCCAGACACUUAAGGCAUUAAGUCACAGGAUGAGAUGAGGUCGGCACAGGAUGCAGGUCAUAAAGACCUUGCUGAUAAAAUGGGUGGCAGUAAGGAAGUCGGCUAAAACCCACCAAAACCAAGAUGGCCAUGAGAGUAACCUCUCGUUGUCCUCACUGCUACACUCCCACCAGCGCCAUGACAGUUUACAAAUGCCAUGGCAACGUCAGGAAGUUACCCUACAAGGUCUAAAACAGGGAGGCACGAAUCCAC